UCAUUGCUGCAGAAGCAUUUUAUUCAAUUCCAUUUAUUUUUAUAUAGAACCAUUCACAGCUUCAGUGUUCUUUACAUAUUUCCUUGAGGGUGAUCCGGCUGGCCGGGUCCUCAUUGCUGAGGACCCGAGUGGCUGGACCAGGCCAAGGGGACGCCCACGUAACACCUGGCUGCGGCAGAUAGACGGCCAUUUCCAGAGGAGGAAGAGGAGCACCUGGAAACUGUUCAUCGGGGACAUCCAUAUACAUUACAGACUGAGAUGAGGUGCUGCUUGUCUACCCAGCAGGAUGCUCAGCACCCUCGUUACUGCAGCACAUGACUGAUUGUUAACUGAGAGUCCAUGAGCCCCCAGUGAGCAAGCCAGAGGCGACACUGGAAAGGAAAAACUCCCUAGAAGGAAGAAACCUUAGGAGGAACCAGACUCAGAGGGAGAGCGCAUCCUCCAGGGGCUGGCAGAGGAAGUCAAAUGAACAAGGGUUGUGGGCUGUCCGGAACCUCAGAGGCUACGGGCACAAGGCAAGGAACAACCCAGGAUGCGGCACCAAUCCAUCACAGGUCGUCUAUCCCUUUAUAUAUUUAUUUAUUAUAUUUGUACUUAUGUGUAUUACCAUCUGUAUCUCAAUACAUUAUAUCGCUGUGCAUGGAUGCGUUGACAAAAAAACGAACUCCUGAGUCUUAUU